GCUCUAUAUACUCCGCCCACAUGGAUUCUUCUUCCUCCUUCUUCUUUCGGAGUUUCUCCUGAUAAAUAUCCGAAUUUGAUGAUUCCAUGAGGAUACGAUGAUUAUUGAAAGAAAAUGAGAGAGAAAAAAGAUCAAAUUCAAUUAAAGUGUUAACAAAAUCUGAGAAGGUGAUACUAAUGUAAAGGGAAUCCUUCGAAUUCAGUUGAAAUGUGACCUUCAUGGAUGGAAAUCAAAAUUGGCCAAAACCCAGAUAUAAAUAGUUUUCUAUUCAAAAAGCUCAUCUCUAGAUUUUUUUUUCUUAGAUUCUCUCCCUCUCUCUUUCUUUUCCUUUCUUCUCAUCUUCCCAUAGUCUGUGUAACUUGUUGACUAAAAAUAAUGACACCAUGAAAUUGAGAUCAGGACAAAAACAACAACAUCUUAAUUCAUCAAUUUGCUAUAAUUAGGUUAAUAGUGGUAGACAAUGAGUUGUGGCGAUAAACAAAUUCAAUCGUAAUCAAAACUCACCUCCAUUGCCAUUUCUGCUUCCGUCAUCUUGAAGGAUUAUCUAAGCUCGUUUCUGAAAUCAGAGGGGAAAAAAGAGAAACAAAGUAAUAACAAAAUUAAUUAAUUGUUCACAAAGUAA